GAUGAACGCUGGCGGCGUGCCUAAUACAUGCAAGUCGAGCGAACAGACGAGGAGCUUGCUCCUCUGACGUUAGCGGCGGACGGGUGAGUAACACGUGGAUAACCUACCUAUAAGACUGGGAUAACUUCGGGAAACCGGAGCUAAUACCGGAUAAUAUAUUGACCCGCAUGGUUCAAUAGUGAAAGACGGUUUUGCUGUCACUUAUAGAUGGAUCCGCGCCGCAUUAGCUAGUUGGUAAGGUAACGGCUUACCAAGGCGACGAUGCGUAGCCGACCUGAGAGGGUGAUCGGCCACACGGGAACUGAGACACGGUCCAGACUCCUACGGUAGGCAGCAGUAGGGAAUCUUCCGCAAGGGGCGAAAGCCUGACGGAGCAACGCCGCGUGAGUGAUGAAGGUCUUCGGAUCGGAAAACUCUGUUAUUAGGGAAGAACAAAUGUGUAAGUAACUAUGCACGUCUUGACGGUACCUAAUCAGAAAGCCACGGCUAACUACGUG
rnacentral:rRNA from 1 species